rnacentral:rRNA from 1 species
UACGGAGGGGGCAAGCGUUAUUCGGAAUUAUUGGGCGUAAAGGGCGCGUAGGCGGCCACGCACGUCCGUUGUGAAAUCGCCCGGCUCAACUGGGCGGGGUCGGCGGAUACGGCGUGGCUGGAGCAAGCUAGGGGGCAAUGGAAUUCCCGGUGUAGUGGUGGAAUGCGUAGAUAUCGGGAGGAACACCAGUGGCGAAGGCGGUUGCCUGGAGCUUUGCUGACGCUGAGGCGCGAAAGCGUGGGGAGCGAUCCGG